rnacentral:rRNA from 1 species
GGGUUGUGAGGUUAAGCGACUAAGCGUACACGGUGGAUGCCCUGGCAGUCAGAGGCGAUGAAGGGCGUGCUAAUCUGCGAUAAGCGCCGGUAAGGUGAUAUGAACCGUUAUAACCGGCGAUACCCGAAUGGGGAAACCCAGUGUGAUUCGUCACACUAUCAUUAACUGAAUCCAUAGGUUAAUGAGGCGAACCGGGGGAACUGAAACAUCUAAGUACCCCGAGGAAAAGAAAUCAACCGAGAUUCCCCCAGUAGCGGCGAGCGAACGGGGAGGAGCCCAGAGCCUGAAUCAGCAUGUGUGUUAGUGGAAGCGUCUGGAAAGUCGCGCGAUACAGGGUGACAGCCCCGUACACAAAAGCGCAUGUGUUGUGAGCUCGAUGAGUAGGGCGGGACACGUGGUAUCCUGUCUGAAUAUGGGGGGACCAUCCUCCAAGGCUAAAUACUCCUGACUGACCGAUAGUGAACCAGUACCGUGAGGGAAAGGCGAAAAGAACCCCGGCGAGGGGAGUGAAAAAGAACCUGAAACCGUGUACGUACAAGCAGUGGGAGCCCCACCACCAAAGCAUUCUCUGGUGUUGAAGGCCCUGCAAAGCAGCAUCGCGGUGGCGGAGCGUCGUUUGCGACGCCCAACACACAAAACAAGCGGUGAGUGCUUUGGGGUGGGGUGACUGCGUACCUUUUGUAUAAUGGGUCAGCGACUUAUAUUCUGUAGCAAGGUUAACCGUAUAGGGGAGCCGGAGGGAAACCGAGUCUUAAUUGGGCGUUAAGUUGCAGGGUAUAGACCCGAAACCCGGUGAUCUAGCCAUGGGCAGGUUG